GAUGAACGCUGGCGAGAUGCUUUACACAUGCAAGUCGUACGAGAGUUUUAAACUCAAGUGGCGGACGGGUGAGUAACACGUAAGAAUUUGCCUUUAGGAGGGGGACAACAACUGGAAACGGUUGCUAAUACCCCAUAUGCUUUCGAGUAAAAUGGAUUUUUCCGCCUAGAGAGAAGCUUGCGGCUGAUUAGCUUGUUGGUAAGGUAAAGGCUUACCAAGGCGACGAUCAGUAUCUGGUUUGAGAGGACGAUCAGACACACUGGAACUGAGACACGGUCCAGACUCCUGCGGGAGGCAGCAGUGGGGAAUUUUCCGCAAUGGGCGAAAGCCUGACGGAGCAAUCUCGCGUGAGGGAUGACUGCCUAUGGGUUGUAAACCUCUUUUUUCAGGGAGGAAUAAAUGA
rnacentral:rRNA from 1 species